GAGAACAAAAAAAAGCGGAAAAACUUUCAUCUAAUGAAGAAUACUUCCACAAAGUGAUUACUAAGUUUAAUUGCAAUAUUCUUAUGCAAUUCAAGUGUAAUUAUAUUAGCUAAAUGGUGAUACACAACCGUUAAAAGGAAGAUCAAAUUUCUCAACGAACACAUUUGUCCGUGGUGGAUGUCAGAAACGGAAGGGGCAUUGCGGUAUCAUGCAAUGUGUGAAAAAGUUAUCAAAGGAUAUCACGAUACGAAUCAUUGCGGAUGUGUGGACAUUUUGUGGUCAGUUGAAGCGGCAGAAGACGAGCGACAAUUGAGGGGAUACAGAUACUGAAAACCUACUCCAAAAUGCACCCUACUACACCUAAUUCGAAUCCAAGGAACAUUUUCAACGUAGAAACAGAAUCUAAUCACCGUUAGGAGGCAAGAUCGGUCAGGAUCCCGUAAUCAACUAACGAAAUUUGCUCAGAUGAUGACGUUCCCAAUGAGGUGAGCAUUGACAGUAUUUUGCAACCAGUUAUCCCGAUUCGAUGCUCUGAAGAACAUAAAAGGAGCAAAUUCAGUAUCUGAAAGAAAUUAGUCGGCUCUUGUUGGAAAAUCUUUACUUGAUGCCAAUUCGGGUAGCCACUAUUACUCCAAGGUCCCGGCCAUGAAAAAAAAUAUUACUUCCACACUACCAGCGGUUCAAAUAGAGUAAGUCGAUUGCGUCGAUCAUUUCACUCAUUGGAUACGGACGAGUGGCUGCAGCAACAGGUUCUUUUGCUCAACAGAUGGGAUUAUUUGGUAAAGGAGUUGAUUGCAAAGCUAACCUUUGUCGCCAGCCAAUAAGUCACAAAACAACCGCAAAAGGUGCCAACGACAAAGAAAAAACAAAAUACAGCAGAAAACUUCAAUAGCUAUAGAAGUCCGUCAUUUGCCAAUGCCGGAUCUGAUCCCUAUGCAAGUACUUGGCAUUGAUCCACGACUGAUUGGUGCAGCCAUAGUUACACCAAAAGCAGUGACAUUCACAGCAUAAACCGCCACAGUUACAACCAAAGCUUUUGGACAGGGAUUAGCCUGAUCUCUACUAUAGUUAGGCCUUCUCUUCGAGUAGACAUAGGUUUAGCACUUUGAGGUUCGUAAGUUUGAAUUAUGAAUGUAGUUUGCAAAAAGAUGGGCUUUUGAGCAUAACAAACCAAAUAUUGAUGUACGCAACAGAUUUGAUAAAUGUUUGCGAUUUUGUUGGUUUUGAUUGGACGUUCUUUUCAUCAUUGAACUCAAUUUGAGCUGGUUGGUACCAACCCAAACAUUUCGGUUGCAAGUUUAUAUUUUUCUUCUGUAUAGCUUUAAUGAUGUUUUGCAGCCAGGUUAUAUCCCAAUCUGUGUAGUUGUAAAAGCUAGUUUAGUAGAGAUGUACAUUAUAUAGAAUUAUCUCACCAGAUGAUUAUACUGUAAUAUAUUCCAUCGAACGUUAUUUUAA